CUGGCUGAUGUCUUCUGAUUUUGUGAUUCUGUUUCAUUUCUGUGGGACUCUUAACUUUCUUUUUCUUUUUCUUUUCGAGACACAGCCUGUCUCUGUCUCCCAGGCUGGAGUGCAGCGGCUCCAUCUCUGCUCACAGCAACCUCUGCCUCCUGGGCUCAAGCGAUCCUCCUGCCUCAGCCUCCUCCCGAGUAGCUGGGACCACAGGUACUAACCAGGCCUGACCCUACUUAGCUUCCAAGAUCAGAGGAGACCGGGCACGUUCAAGAUGACUUGGAACUGAAGAAGCUGGCAAUCUGGAAAUGCCAAUGGACGCAGAUUUUAAAAGCCCCAGCAAAAGUCUGCUUUCUCUAUUCAUAGGACCAGGAUCAGGAAGAGGACAGCUUAGAAAGACAUAAAAUUCUUAGACAAUAACUGUUCUACCCCAGCCAAACACCAAACACACACACACACACACACACACACACACUCCAACAACUAUGGCCCCACCCACUUCAGCAAAGGCUGAGUAGGAGCCUAAACUUCCACCACUGAGCGGCUAUAAGAAGUUACCCCAAGACCCCACCAACGUGGUGUUAAAGAAGGCCAAAUAGGGGACAAAAUUUUUAUCCAUGCUGACCAGUUAUGAGGUUCCCUUUUUCCCUCUGUGAAAUAAAAAUAAAGCCCGUAGGUCCCCAGGCAAGAUGAAAUGGACUCCUUGUUGCAAAAGAGACCCCAGAAAACUUUAAAAGCUGGAUUCUAUGGCUUUGGCAAGCCAGACACCACUGGUUGGUUUACAGGAAUAAGCAGUCUAAAUUGCA
rnacentral:lncRNA from 1 species